rnacentral:rRNA from 1 species
AAGGCCCAGACAGCCAGGAUGUUGGCUUAGAAGCAGCCAUCAUUUAAAGAAAGCGUAAUAGCUCACUGGUCGAGUCGGCCUGCGCGGAAGAUGUAACGGGGCUAAACCAUGCACCGAAGCUGCGGCAGCGACACUGUGUGUUGUUGGGUAGGGGAGCGUUCUGUAAGCCUGCGAAGGUGUCCCGUGAGGGAUGCUGGAGGUAUCAGAAGUGCGAAUGCUGACAUAAGUAACGAUAAAGCGGGUGAAAAGCCCGCUCGCCGGAAGACCAAGGGUUCCUGUCCAACGUUAAUCGGGGCAGGGUGAGUCGACCCCUAAGGCGAGGCCGAAAGGCGUAGUCGAUGGGAAACGGGUUAAUAUUCCCGUACUUGGUGUUACUGCGAAGGGGGGACGGAGAAGGCUAUGUUGGCCGGGCGACGGUUGUCCCGGUUUAAGCGUGUAGGCUGGUUUUCCAGGCAAAUCCGGAAAAUCAAGGCUGAGGCGUGACGACGAGGCACUACGGUGCUGAAGCAACAAAUGCCCUGCUUCCAGGAAAAGCCUCUAAGCAUCAGGUAACAUCAAAUCGUACCCCAAACCGACACAGGUGGUCAGGUAGAGAAUACCAAGGCGCUUGA